rnacentral:rRNA from 1 species
UAGUACGGCGAGUGAGCGGGAAGAGCUCAAAUUUGAAAUCUGGCAGUCUUCGAUUGUCCGAGUUGUAAUCUAUAGAGGCGUUUUCCGUGCCGGACCGUGUCCAAGUCUCCUGGAAAGGAGUAUCAAAGAGGGUGAUAAUCCCGUACUUAACACGACCACCGGUGCUCUGUGAUACGUCUUCUACGAGUCGAGUUGUUUGGGAAUGCAGCUCAAAAUGGGUGGUGAAUUCCAUCUAAAGCUAAAUAUUGGCGAGAGACCGAUAGCGAACAAGUACCGUGAGGGAAAGAUGAAAAGCACUUUGGAAAGAGAGUUAAACAGUACGUGAAAUUGUUGAAAGGGAAACGAUUGAAGUCAGUCGUGUUCUUUGGAUUCAGCCAGUUCUGCUGGUCUACUUCCUUGGAACGGGUCAACAUCAGUUUUGUCCGGUGGAUAAAGGUAGUAGGAAUGUGACUUCCCCGGAAGUGUUAUAGCCUAUUAUCACAUACACUGGGUGAGAUUGAGGACUGCAGCUCGCCUUUAUGGCCGGUCUUCGGACACGUUCGAGCUUAGGAUGUUGACAUAAUGGCUUUAAACGACCCGUCUUGA